AGGUAGCUGACGAGUCACAAAUAGGACGAAACGCGUGUCCUGGGU
rfam:Schistosoma curassoni strain Dakar, Senegal genome assembly, scaffold: SCTD_contig0000819